rnacentral:rRNA from 1 species
AUUCCAGCUCCAAUAGCGUAUAUUAAAGUUGUUGCAGUUAAAAAGCUCGUAGUCGGAUUUUGGUACCAAGCCGAACGGUCUGCCGAACGGUAUGCCCUGUUUAGCGGGUACUUCCUUCCGGAAGCCCGUGCUCUCCUUAAUUGGAUGGCACGGUGAGUCCGGAUCAUUUACUUUGAAAAAAUUAGAGUGUUCAAAGCAGGCCUAUGCUCUGAAUAGCUUAGCAUGGAAUAAUAGAAUAGGACUUCGGUACUAUUUUGUUGGUUUCUAGGACCGAAGUAAUGAUUAAUAGGGACAGUUGGGGGCAUUUAUAUUCCAUUGUCAGAGGUGAAAUUCUUGGAUUAACGGAAGAUAAACUACUGCGAAAGCAUCUGCCAAGGAUGUUUUCAUUA